GGGCUCUUGAUCUAGUGGUAUGAUGUCCGCCUACGAAUUUGUGAGCGGGAUGUCGUGGGUUCGAUCCCCGCAGGGCCUU